GGGUUGUGAGGUUAAGCGACUAAGCGUACACGGUGGAUGCCCUGGCAGUCAGAGGCGAUGAAGGACGUGCUAAUCUGCGAUAAGCNUCGGUAAGGUGAUAUGAACCGUUAUAACCGGCGAUUUCCGAAUGGGGAAACCCAGUGUGUUUCGACACACUAUCAUUAACUGAAUCCAUAGGUUAAUGAGGCGAACCGGGGGAACUGAAACAUCUAAGUACCCCGAGGAAAAGAAAUCAACCGAGAUUCCCCCAGUAGCGGCGAGCGAACGGGGAGCAGCCCAGAGCCUGAAUCAGUGUGUGUGUUAGUGGAAGCGUCUGGAAAGGCGCGCGAUACAGGGUGACAGCCCCGUACACAAAAAUGCACAUGCUGUGAGCUCGAUGAGUAGGGCGGGACACGUGGUAUCCUGUCUGAAUAUGGGGGGACCAUCCUCCAAGGCUAAAUACUCCUGACUGACCGAUAGUGAACCAGUACCGUGAGGGAAAGGCGAAAAGAACCCCGGUGAGGGGAGUGAAAAAGAACCUGAAACCGUGUACGUACAAGCAGUGGGAGCACGCUUAGGCGUGUGACUGCGUACCUUUUGUAUAAUGGGUCAGCGACUUAUAUUCUGUAGCAAGGUUAACCGAAUAGGGGAGCCGAAGGGAAACCGAGUCUUAACUGGGCGUUAAGUUGCAGGGUAUAGGCCCGAAACCCGGUGAUCUAGCCAUGGGCAGGUUGAAGGUUGGGUAACACUAACUGGAGGACCGAACCGACUAAUGUUGAAAAAUUAGCGGAUGACUUGUGGCUGGGGGUGAAAGGCCAAUCAAACCGGGAGAUAGCUGGUUCUCCCCGAAAGCUAUUUAGGUAGCGCCUCGUGAAUUCAUCUCCGGGGGUAGAGCACUGUUUCGGCAAGGGGGUCAUCCCGACUUACCAACCCGAUGCAAACUGCGAAUACCGGAGAAUGUUAUCACGGGAGACACACGGCGGGUGCUAACGUCCGUCGUGAAGAGGGAAACAACCCAGACCGCCAGCUAAGGUCCCAAAGUCAUGGUUAAGUGGGAAACGAUGUGGGAAGGCCCAGACAGCCAGGAUGUUGGCUUAGAAGCAGCCAUCAUUUAAAGAAAGCGUAAUAGCUCACUGGUCGAGUCGGCCUGCGCGGAAGAUGUAACGGGGCUAAACCAUGCACCGAAGCUGCGGCAGCGACGCUGAUGCGUUGUUGGGUAGGGGAGCGUUCUGUAAGCCUGUGAAGGUGUGCUGUGAGGCAUGCUGGAGGUAUCAGAAGUGCGAAUGCUGACAUAAGUAACGAUAAAGCGGGUGAAAAGCCCGCUCGCCGGAAGACCAAGGGUUCCUGUCCAACGUUAAUCGGGGCAGGGUGAGUCGACCCCUAAGGCGAGGCCGAAAGGCGUAGUCGAUGGGAAACAGGUUAAUAUUCCUGUACUUGGUGUUACUGCGAAGGGGGGACGGAGAAGGCUAUGUUGGCCGGGCGACGGUUGUCCCGGUUUAAGCGUGUAGGCUGGUUUUCCAGGCAAAUCCGGAAAAUCAAGGCUGAGGCGUGAUGACGAGGCACUACGGUGCUGAAGCAACAAAUGCCCUGCUUCCAGGAAAAGCCUCUAAGCAUCAGGUAACAUCAAAUCGUACCCCAAACCGACACAGGUGGUCAGGUAGAGAAUACCAAGGCGCUUGAGAGAACUCGGGUGAAGGAACUAGGCAAAAUGGUGCCGUAACUUCGGGAGAAGGCACGCUGAUAUGUAGGUGAAGUCCCUCGCGGAUGGAGCUGAAAUCAGUCGAAGAUACCAGCUGGCUGCAACUGUUUAUUAAAAACACAGCACUGUGCAAACACGAAAGUGGACGUAUACGGUGUGACGCCUGCCCGGUGCCGGAAGGUUAAUUGAUGGGGUUAGCGCAAGCGAAGCUCUUGAUCGAAGCCCCGGUAAACGGCGGCCGUAACUAUAACGGUCCUAAGGUAGCGAAAUUCCUUGUCGGGUAAGUUCCGACCUGCACGAAUGGCGUAAUGAUGGCCAGGCUGUCUCCACCCGAGACUCAGUGAAAUUGAACUCGCUGUGAAGAUGCAGUGUACCCGCGGCAAGACGGAAAGACCCCGUGAACCUUUACUAUAGCUUGACACUGAACAUUGAGCCUUGAUGUGUAGGAUAGGUGGGAGGCUUAGAAGUGUGGACGCCAGUCUGCAUGGAGCCGACCUUGAAAUACCACCCUUUAAUGUUUGAUGUUCUAACGUUGACCCGUAAUCCGGGUUGCGGACAGUGUCUGGUGGGUAGUUUGACUGGGGCGGUCUCCUCCUAAAGAGUAACGGAGGAGCACGAAGGUUGGCUAAUCCUGGUCGGACAUCAGGAGGUUAGUGCAAUGGCAUAAGCCAGCUUGACUGCGAGCGUGACGGCGCGAGCAGGUGCGAAAGCAGGUCAUAGUGAUCCGGUGGUUCUGAAUGGAAGGGCCAUCGCUCAACGGAUAAAAGGUACUCCGGGGAUAACAGGCUGAUACCGCCCAAGAGUUCAUAUCGACGGCGGUGUUUGGCACCUCGAUGUCGGCUCAUCACAUCCUGGGGCUGAAGUAGGUCCCAAGGGUAUGGCUGUUCGCCAUUUAAAGUGGUACGCGAGCUGGGUUUAGAACGUCGUGAGACAGUUCGGUCCCUAUCUGCCGUGGGCGCUGGAGAACUGAGGGGGGCUGCUCCUAGUACGAGAGGACCGGAGUGGACGCAUCACUGGUGUUCGGGUUGUCAUGCCAAUGGCACUGCCCGGUAGCUAAAUGCGGAAGAGAUAAGUGCUGAAAGCAUCUAAGCACGAAACUUGCCCCGAGAUGAGUUCUCCCUGACCCUUUAAGGGUCCUGAAGGAACGUUGAAGACGACGACGUUGAUAGGCCGGGUGUGUAAGCGCAGCGAUGCGUUGAGCUAACCGGUACUAAUGAACCGUGAGGCUUAACCUUACAACGCCGAAGCUGUU
rnacentral:rRNA from 1 species